AUGAUGGCCCCCAUUCAGCUCCUGGGGUUGCUGCUGCUCUGGCUCACAGGUGCCAGAUGUGACAUCCAGAUGACCCAGUCUCCAGCCUCCCUUUCUGUGUCUCUGGGAGAAAGUGUCACCAUGACAUGCCUGGCAAGUCAGGACAUUGGUAUUCUGUUAGCAUGGUAUCAGCAGAAACCAGGGAAACCUCCUCAGCUCCUGAUCUAUUAUGCAAACAGCUUGGCAGAUGGGGUCCCUUCAAGGUUCAGUGGCAGUAGAUCUGGCACACAGUUUUCUCUCAAGAUCAGCAGCCUUCAGCCUGAAGAUGUGGCAACUUAUUACUGUCAGCAGGGUAACAGUUACCCUCCCACAGUGAUUCAAGCCAUGACAUAA